AACUUAGCUAUCUUCCAAUUAUACUGAUGUUUGCAUAGGCUCGUGUUUAAACAUAGACAUACGGCAAGUUUGUGGUGCUAGUAAUUCUAGAUUACAGACAGUUAACUUAGCUAUUUUCCAAUUAUGCAUUCAAGGUUUGCCAUUCUCACUUAGCAUCAGACUUUGUUCUCUUGUUUUGGAAUAGUAACCGAAACAUUGUAUCAUUUCAGGUCAUGAAUACAAUGCAACAGGUUCUGGAGAAGAAACUGAUAUACGUGUAGAACCAUCAUCAACCUGUCCGAUGCUGUAGUGUAUCCAGCCUCGUUAAUUAGAAUACGUCUUGCAGCAUUCCCAUAUUUCCACUAGAAAAAUUUCGGUGGAAUUUAAAUCUAUAGAGAUACAUGUCGAACCAUCUUCGAACAGUCUACAGAUUUCCAUUCGAAAUGCCAUCAUGAUGAAUUCUUAUUCUUGCUUGUUAUCAUUGCCGAACAUUCGGCGAUUUUGCAUAGACUAACGAGAGAACGUUAGUUUCAUUUCUUCAUCCUGCAGUCUUUUUAACACACGCACUCGUUCCUUUAGACGAUUACGUGAAACAGCAACACUAAAUAAUUUGUUUGUUUUUGAACAUCUUUUUAUUUGGAAAAUUUAUCUUAGCCGAAAGAAUAUUUCGGCAUUUAAUUCCAAAUACUCCUCCCUUCUUUCCCAACGACGAUAGACUUUUCGGCGCCACGAACUCGACCGUUUGCAAUCUCAAUAUAUAUUUACAUCUAAAUAAUAUCUUUAAAGUUAAUUAAUAGUAAGUUACUUGUUUUAUUUGUAGUAAUAGGCUAAUCACAAAUAUAUCUAAUUACAUAGGAAACUAUUAGGCAUUGAGACUUAA